UACGUAGGGUGCAAGCGUUAAUCGGAAUUACUGGGCGUAAAGGGCGCGUAGGCGGCCUGCUAAGUCGAACGUGAAAUCCCUGGGCUCAACCCAGGAACUGCGUCCGAUACUGGUUGGCUUGAAUCCGGGAGAGGGAUGUGGAAUUCCAGGUGUAGCGGUGAAAUGCGUAGAUAUCUGGAGGAACACCGGUGGCGAAGGCGACAUCCUGGACCGGUAUUGACGCUGAGGCGCGAAAGCCAGGGGAGCAAACAGG
rnacentral:rRNA from 1 species